CGGUUCUGAACCCUAUUGAAAAUGUAUGGACUCAAUAGCUGCAUCAGUACCAACCAUUUUAAAGAAAAAAUUAAAAGUGUCUUUUAAAGAUGGAAGUUAAAAUGAAGCGCACUAACAUGAUUUUAAUCACGACAUAUUGAAAAAAUACUUCUGUGGCGUUUGGCAUUUUCAUUGACCAUUCAGCUGUGUGAUGUUACCUGAGCCAUGAGUAUAAUGGCACACAGCCAUUGAACAGCACCAAGUGGUAGAACAAGUUUAUCCUACACAUAUUAACUGUUAAAACUUGGCUGGAAUAAUAACAAGAGUUUUUUAUUUAUCCCAAAGACAGGAGACUUCAAACAACUUGGAUAUGUAAGCAUUGACAUGAGAAUCACAACCCAAACCCGAGUGAACCUGUGCAAUGCCCAUCACUUUGAAGAGGAGGCCUUCAAAUACAAGCCGUGGCUGCAAUUGAUGGGUGAAUGUGUCCCGCACCUGAGGCUCAUUUGGAAACCCUCAUCUCUGGCUUAAAAGGAGUGCACAGACAGCUGGAAGACGCCAGAGUGUUACCCCGUUGUGGUAUGCCUAGGCCACUAAUCUCUCUACCGAACUUCGUACCUGUGAGUUUUUGGAAAUGCUGUUUUUGGACUAAUCCUGCCUCCUGUCCAGUUUGUCGUGUUUGGGUUUACUCACCUGUGUUGGCUCCGUGCUCUGAGGACCAGUUGUCCAAAAACCCACCGCUCAGAUUUUGCUCUGGCAUCUCCACUCACACUCCCUUGGUGGUACCAAGCCGGGCGUGAGAACCCCCUUCCUGGAUUCACCUGGUUUGACAGUCACUCUCCAGUUCUUCCAGCUGCUCCUCCUGCCUGCCACUGCAGUGGUGCUGUUCGGGCCCCCCGCCUGUAUUACAUCCGCCAGCCCUCCUGUCACUCAGCCACCACCUCCCAUCAGAGUUACGAUCGCAGAGCUCCUUUUUCACUCAUCUCCCCCAGAUAGGUCUCCCCAUCCAAACGUCGUUCCAGCUCUGACGUUCCGACCUCGUUUGCUGCCCACAUUGUGUUCUUUCCCUUUGUUGAGCCCAAAUAAACAUCUUAAAACUG